CUUGUCAUGACUUUUUCUUUUUGUUGGAUCCUCCCCCUUUGCAUUUAAUUUGUCACACCCAAUAGAUUCAUUCUGCUGGGCUUCCUGGGGUUGUGAUCCUCAUUGUCUUUUCCUAGGGUAUUGUCUAAAAUUUUUUGGAGUGCCGGUUUGGUAUUCAUGAAGUUCCUGAGGUGCUCUUUGUCAUGAAAGUAUUUUAUUUCUCCAUCAAUUUUGAAAGAUAGUUUUGCAGGGUACAUCCAUCUAGGUUGGAGGCUGUUUUCCUUUAGGGCUUGAAAUACAUCACUCCAAGCUCUUCUUGCCUUGAGGGUUUGCAUUGAGAAGUCUGUUGUGAUUCUGAUGGGCUUUCCUUUGUAUGUGAUUUGUUUCUUUUCUCUCACUGCUUGUAGAAUUUUAUUCUUCUGUUGGAUUUCUGGAAUCCUAACUAUUAUAUGCCUCUGUGUAGAUUUUUUUGAUUAAGGCUAGCUGGAGUCCCAUAUGCCUCACUUAUCUGUAUGUCAAGUUCUUUUCCCCUCCUUGGGAAGUUUUCUGCCAUCACUUCUGUGAACAGUUUUUUAUGUCAUCUGCACUCUCUCCUGUUUCUUCAUUGACUCCAAUCAGUCCUAUGUUAUUCUUCUUUGCAUGGUCUAGCAGCUGCUGGAUUGAUUUCUCAUGUUCCCUUAAAAUUUUAAAGCAAUUUUUCUUUUCCUCCUCACUAAUUGCAAUCUUAUCUUCCAUAUGUGAAAUUCUAUCCUCAUAUUGGUUCAUUCUGCUGCGCAGACUUUCAAUGGAGUUUUUAAUCUCUUGGAAAUCUGUUUGUAUCUGUUCUAUGGAUUCCAUUUGUUUCCUAUGUUGGAAUUCUAUCAUGUUCCUCAGAUCCUCUAUUUUUUUAUCUGUGUCCUCUCUAGAUUUAUUAAUCAUGUCUUGCACCAUGAGCAAAAUCUUUGCUGUUAUCUGAGUAAUUAUUUCUGAUUUCAUUUUUCCCAGAUCCUCUUUUGUUGCCAGUUCAGAUAGUCCAGGUGGUUGAGUAUCAGAUUGUUCCAUCUCAUUUCCCUUUGGGGUUGCUGUAGGUGAUCCAGAAGUCUGUUUUUGAGACUUGCUUAUGUGUCUCCUCAUUUCCAUGGGAGGGGUGCUUCUGGCACCCAUGUGGCUCACUUUCUCUGCCUUAGGAGCUUGGGAUGGCAGCGGGGGAGCUUCCUUCCAGGUUCUGGGACCGGCUCAGCUUCUCUGCCCUAGGAGCUGGGGAUGGCAGUGGGGGAGCUUCCUUCUGGGUGCUGGGACUGGCUCACCUUCUCUGCUCUAGAAGCCUGGGAUGGCAGCAGGGGAGCUUCCUCCCAGGUGCUGGGACCAGCUGAGCCUCUCUGCCCUAGGAGCCUGGGAUGGCAGCAGGCAAGCUUCCUUCUGGGUGCUGGGACCAGCUCACCUUCUCUGCCUUAGGAGCCUGGGAUAGAGGCAGGGAGCUUCCUUCCAGGUGCUGGGACCAGCUGAGCUUCUCUGCCCUAGGAGCCUGGGAUGGAGGCAGGGACCUUCCUUCCAGGUGCUUGGACCAGCUCACCUCCUCUGUCCUAGGAGCCUGGGAUGGAGGCGGGGAGCUUCCUUCCGGGUGCUGGGACCGGCUGAGCUUUUCUGCCUCUCCAUCAAUUUUGAAAGAUAGUUUUGAAGGCUACAUCAAUCUGGGUUGGAGGCUGUUUUCUUUUAGGGCUUGGAAUACAUCACUCCAAGCUCUUCUUGCCUUGGUGGUUUGUUUGCAUUGAGAAGUCUGUUGUGAUUCUGAUGGGCUUUCCUUUGUAUGUGAUUUGUUUCUUUUCUCUCACUGCUUGUAGAACUUUGUUCUUCUGUUGUGUUUCUGGAAUCUUAACAAUUAUAUGCCUAUGUGUAGAUUUUUUUUGAUUAAGACUAGUUGGAGUCCUGUUUGCCUCACUUAUCUGUAUGUCAAGUUCUUUUCACCUCCUUCAGAAGUCUUCUGCCAUUACUUCUGUGAACAGUUUUUUUUAUGUCGUCUGCACUCUCCUGUUUCUUCAUUGACUCCAAUCAGGUUUAUGUUAUUCUUCUUUGCAUCAUCUAGCAGCUGCUGGAUGGAUUUCUUGUGGUCCCUUACAAUUUUAAAGCAAUUUUUCUUUUCCUGGUCACUAAUUGCAAUCUUAUCUUCUAUAUCUGAAAUUCUAUCCUACAUUGCCUUAUUCUGCUGUGUAGACUUUCAAUGGAGUUUUUCAUCUCCUGGAAAUCUGUUUGCAUCUGUUUUAUGGAUUUCAUUUAUUUCCUAUGUUGGUAUUCCAUCAUGUUCCUCAGCUCCUCUCUAGAUUUAUUAAUCAUGUCUUGCACUAUGAGCACAAUCUCUGUUGUUAUCUGAGAAAUUAUUUCUGGUUUCACUUUUUCCAGAUCCUGUUUUGUUGCCAAAUCAGGGAGUCUGGGUGGUUGAGUAAGUAUCAGAGUGUUCCAUAUCUUUUCUGUUUGGGGUUGCUGUAGGUGAUCUGUAAGUCUGGUUUUGAGACUUGUUUAUGACUGUGGGGGUGGGAGCAGUGCUGCUGGUGCCCCGGGGGCUCACCUCCUCUGCACUGGGAGCAGUGAUACCCACGUUUUACUUUCUUAUUUAAUUGACUUAUUUUUCAUACUAAAAAUUUUCACACAUGCACAAAGAAAUGGACCACAAUUGAACACAGACCCAUAUAUCCAUCACCCAGCUCAAGAAAUCAAAUUUUACCAAUAUAUCUGGAGCACCAUCCAUACUGCUUCCUGAUCUUAG
rnacentral:lncRNA from 1 species